rnacentral:rRNA from 1 species
UACGUAGGGUGCAAGCGUUAAUCGGAAUUACUGGGCGUAAAGCGUGCGCAGGCGGUUAUGUAAGACAGGUGUGAAAUCCCAGGGCUUAACCUUGGAACUGCAUUUGUGACUGCAUAGCUAGAGUACGGUAGAGGGGGAUGGAAUUCCGCGUGUAGCAGUGAAAUGCGUAGAUAUGCGGAGGAACACCGAUGGCGAAGGCAAUCCCCUGGACCUGUACUGACGCUCAUACACGAAAGCGUGGGGAGCAAACAGG